GACGAACGCUGGCGGCGUGCCUAAUACAUGCAAGUAGAACGCUGAAGGAGGAGCUUGCUUCUCUGGAUGAGUUGCGAACGGGUGAGUAACGCGUAGGUAACCUGCCUGGUAGCGGGGGAUAACUAUUGGAAACGAUAGCUAAUACCGCAUAAGAGUAGAUGUUGCAUGACAUUUGCUUAAAAGGUGCAAUUGCAUCACUACCAGAUGGACCUGCGUUGUAUUAGCUAGUUGGUGGGGUAACGGCUCACCAAGGCGACGAUACAUAGCCGACCUGAGAGGGGGAUCGGCCACCCUGGGACUGAGACACGGCCCAGACUCCUACGGGAGGCAGCCGUAGGGAAUCUUCGGCAAUGGACGGAAGUCUGACCGAGCAACGCCGCGUGAGUGCAGAAGGUUUUCGGAUCGUAAAGCUCUGUUGUAAGAGAAGAACGAGUGUGAGAGUGGAAAGUUCACACUGUGACGGUAUCUUACCAGAAAGGGACGGCUAACUACGUG
rnacentral:rRNA from 1 species